rnacentral:rRNA from 1 species
CCCUUAGAUGUUCUGGGCCGCACGCGUGCUACACUGAGUGGAUCAGCGGGUCAGGUUGCGCGAAAGCGUUUCCUAAUCUUUAAAUCCGCUCGUGAUGGGGAUUGACGGUUGCAAUUUUCUGUCAUGAACGAGGAAUACCUUGUAAGCGCGGGUCAUCAUCCCGCGCUGAAUACGUCCCUGCCCUUUGUACACACCGCCCGUCGCUCCUACCGAUUGAGUGGUCCGGUGAGGCUAUGGGAUCUGAGCGGAAAGAGCGUUUCGCUGUUUCUGCUCGGAAAACUCAGUCGAACCUUAUCAUUUAGAGGAAGGAGAAGUCGUAACA